GAGCAAGUAACGUCUAAAUUAACUUUUUUUUGCUGAUGAACUGUAUAAAUGAGUGUCUAAUAGUGUUUUAAAUGUGUGCAUUCUUUAUUUUAGCAUUUUGGUGCAUUUUCUUUAAAAAUUAAAAAUUCUGUCUAAAAACCACAGUAAUGCGCCACCUUCAGCUGAAAACAUAGAAUUUGAGUCAUUUUGAAUAAAUUUUAGCCAAUGGCUAAAGAGUAAAGUACUACGUAAACCAGUAGAGUACUACGUAGCAGCUCCGUGCCAAAGUUAUAAAAGCAACGAGCGUCUCGGCCACGCCCUGUGGCGCGUGGGAUUUGGAUUUGCAAGCGAGCGUAGGAGGUCAGCGGUAGUUCAGCAUUAGCAUAUAGCAUUAGCAUAUCCUAGUCUUUAGCAUAUCUUUUAGUGUUAUAAAUACUUAUUUAGUGUUAGCUUGGCUGUUGGAUAUUGUAGUUUAGUUAGUGUUUGGCUGUUAAUGUAAUUGGGGAAGUAUUCCGGGUUUAGUGUUCAUAUCGUCUUAGUAUUGGUGAGAUGGUGUAAUGUAGUAUGCUUGCGGUGACUCUGUGGGCAUUUUACCCGCGAUUCUGCACGUCUCUGUUUGAAGAGGGAGGCUGCCCACCGUGGCUCUUCCGUGAUUUAGAUGCAGCCCACCGACUCUGCUCCCCCACCACGGCGGGCUCCAGUCUGAGGUGAGUAAGCUAAAUAAACGUUUUAACAUCUUCUAAAGACAAUUCCCUACCUAAAUGCAAAGUCUGAGAGACGUGGUUCAUUUCCUUUAGCUAGUCAGUCGGCAAUUCUGCAACAGUGUCUCUAACUAACGCUGCACUAGUUGACAGACAGCAUUACAGCGUGAAAUCCAGCUUGUGACCCGGUUCUGUAAGGAAUUCUGUUCAGGAGGUCGCAUUUCAGGCUCUCCACAUCAUGUGUGACUGACUUUUACGUUAUAACAACGAUCACACACUAGGAAUGUUAUAAAGCGCCUAUAUAGGAGAUUCUUUUGUAUAUUAUCUGACUUUAUAAACUCCAACAACAAUGUGCUUCUAUUUUUUUUUCAGGCCAAAUCUACCCAAGACACUGGCUGUCAGACUGAUUUAGCUGCAAGAAUGCACUUGUCCAGGCUGAUGUGAAACCUUCCCUGUAGCAAAGCCAGCCAGAAUGGAGUUCACAGCCGCAGUGUGUCUGGUGACCCACAGGGACCAUGAUGGAAAUUCAUCUUCCAGAAAGUCCCAGAGCAGCGGCCGCACCCCCUGAAAAGACCAAGAUGUAAGGUGUCUGCUGUUGAUUCCAGCUUCCACCUCAAUGACAGUGCAAGCUCAGUGAACUGUUCAAGCCUGGCUGAUCACCUGAUAACUCCUGUCAUCUGGUUAUGACAGCAUGAGGAUGUCCUCACACACCUGUAACCUAUCAGCUCAUCUGGCAGAAUAGAGAGAGAAGAGACAACACCACAUCUCCUGUUCCUGGAAAGCCUUCAGCCAUCCUUCGAUGACUGAGAACCUCCAUCAGCUCUGUCUCCUGUCUGCCUACAAUUAUUAUAAUAAAUAUUGUGUUUGACAAGUUUUUUGUGCUGCCAAAUAUCUCAUUUAGAUUCCAGUUUUGAUAUUUUAAUGGAUAUUUAUAAAUUACAUUGAUUAUCACAUUUUUGUUGCAUGUUUAACUUGCUCUAUUGUGAUGAA